GAACUACAUACAAAAGCAGAAUAGACAUCAGCUAAAUCGACUUACCCUCUCACUUGAUCAGUGCAGUACAAGCAAGAGGAUGGGAAAUGACAAAAGCGAUGGUGAAGUAUGUUGCCUGAACCGUUGAAUAUCUUGAGCACUUAAUUUUAAGGUUCUUUUGAAGACCUUGACCAGGAGUUACACGCUGACUUUGGUUCUUUGCGGGAAUGGGACCCGCUCUCAAAGCUUGACGACCGACAGUUUAUCGAUAUGCCAAGGAUGCUGCCUAGAAGACUAGCAUGUCUUCAGGGUGCCAGAUUUUCAUGGCUCUGGAGGCAGGCAGGUUCGAGAUCGGUGCCGCCGCAGGAAGCUGGUGUGUCAUAGGAGUACACAGAAGAUCCAAAGCAGCCAGCUGGCUGCAUGCCCAAAGACCUGAGAUCUUUGAUUCGAGCUCAGAAAAAGCGACAUAACAGAUUUUUAACAUCAUAAAUUGGCAAGUUGUUUUCUUAUGUCUCCCCACUUGCUGUGAAAUGGGGACAUCUCCUUUUCCCUUAUCAGGGAGAGAGAGAACCUGUGUUACAUCAAAUUACCGGCUGAACGAAUCGUCUUUGGGGUACUGCAAGUCUCUGUCUUUACUGAUGUUUUGCUGCACGCUUGAGUGCUCGGUGCAGGGUGCAGAUGCUUUCUUGCUGGUGGGGGGGGUGUUUGUCACUUUGCUACUGCCUAUGUGAGGGAGGGGGGCUGGAGUGAGCUUUGGGGUUCUAAUAUUUAACUGUCAUUCAGCCUUU